AAGAAUAUAGCUUAAAAGCACGGAAUAAUUUGCACCAGAUUCCUAAUCUGGGGGUCACAGGUUCAAAUCCUGUCGUCCUCA
rnacentral:tRNA from 1 species